AACCAGUACCGUGAGGGAAAGGCGAAAAGCACCCCGGAAGGGGAGUGAAACAGUUCCUGAAACCGUGUGCCUACAAGUAGUUAGAGCCCGUUAAUGGGUGAUAGCGUGCCUUUUGUAGAAUGAACCGGCGAGUUACGAUUUGUUGCAAGGUUAAGCGGAAAAAGCGGAGCCGUAGCGAAAGCGAGUCUGAAUAGGGCGCAUAAGUAACAGGUCGUAGACCCGAAACCAGGUGAUCUACCCAUGUCCAGGAUGAAGGUAAGGUAAUACUUACUGGAGGUCC
rnacentral:rRNA from 1 species